rnacentral:rRNA from 1 species
CCUACGUGGAGCUGCAGUGGGGAAUAUUGGACAAUGGGCGAAAGCCUGAUCCAGCCAUGCCGCGUGUGUGAAGAAGGCCUUCGGGUUGUAAAGCACUUUCAGUGGGGAAGAAAGCCUUGGGGCUAAUACCCUCGAGGAAGGACAUCACCCACAGAAGAAGCACCGGCUAACUCCGUGCCAGCAGCCGCGGUAAUACGGAGGGUGCGAGCGUUAAUCGGAAUUACUGGGCGUAAAGCGCGCGUAGGCGGUCUGAUAAGCCGGUUGUGAAAGCCCCGGGCUCAACCUGGGAACGGCAUCCGGAACUGUCAGGCUAGAGUGCAGGAGAGGAAGGUAGAAUUCCCGGUGUAGCGGUGAAAUGCGUAGAGAUCGGGAGGAAUACCAGUGGCGAAGGCGGCCUUCUGGACUGACACUGACGCUGAGGUGCGAAAGCGUGGGUAGCAAACAGGAUUAGAUACCCGUGUAGUC